rnacentral:rRNA from 1 species
GAUCCUGGCUUAGGAUGAACGUUGGCGGUGUGCCUAAUACAUGCAAGUCGAACGGUGAUCUUAUGGGAGCUUGCUUCCAUUUGAUUAUAGUGGCGAACGGGUGAGUAACGCGUUGGUGAUCUGCCUCGAAGUGUGGAAUAACGUUCCGAAAGGGACGCUAAUACCGCAUGUGCUCAAGAUUUUUAGAAAGUUUUGAGUAAAGGAUUUAUUCGCUUCGAGAGGAGCCUGCGUCCCAUCAGCUAGUUGGUAAGGUAACGGCUUACCAAGGCUAUGACGGGUAGGGGACCUGAGAGGGUGGCCCCCCACAAUGGAACUGAAACACGGUCCAUACACCUACGGGUGGCAGCAGUAGGGAAUAUUAGAAAUGGGCGAAAGCCUGAUUCCUAGCGACACCGCGUGUGCGAUGAAGGCCUUCGGGUUGUAAAGCACUUUUUGGAAGGAAUAGGAAGGAAGGUACUUCCAGAAUAAGUCUCGGCUAACUACGUGCCAGCAGCAGC